AUAUUUGAUUAAUAUGUUUAUCUUUAUCUUCUUCUUUUUUU
rnacentral:sRNA from 1 species